GACGAACGCUGGCGGCGUGCUUAACACAUGCAAGUCGAACGGAAAGGCCCUGCUUUUGUGGGGUGCUCGAGUGGCGAACGGGUGAGUAACACGUGAGUAACCUGCCCUUGACUUUGGGAUAACUUGAGGAAACUGGGGCUAAUACCGGAUAGGAGCUCCUGCUGCAUGGUGGGGGUUGGAAAGUUUCGGCGGUUGGGGAUGGACUCGCGGCUUACCAGCUUGUUGGUGGGGUAGUGGCUUACCAAGGCUUUGACGGGUAGCCGGCCUGAGAGGGUGACCGGCCACAUUGGGACUGAGAUACGGCCCAGACUCCUACGGGAGGCAGCAGUGGGGAAUAUUGCACAAUGGGCGGAAGCCUGAUGCAGCAACGCCGCGUGCGGGAUGACGGCCUUCGGGUUGUAAACCGCUUUCGCCUGUGACGAAGCGUGAGUGACGGUAAUGGGUAAAGAAGCACCGGCUAACUACGUG
rnacentral:rRNA from 1 species